CAGCCGUAAACUAUGCUCGCUAGGUGUCAGGCAUGGCGCGACCGCGUCUGGUGCCCCAGGGAAGCCGUGAAGCGAGCCACCUGGGAAGUACGGCCGCAAGGCUGAAACUUAAAGGAAUCGGCGGGGGAGCACAACAACGGGUGGAGCCUGCGGUUUAAUUGGACUCAACGCCGGACAACUCACCGGGGACGACAGCAAUAUGUAGGCCAGGCUGAAGACCUUGCCUGAAUCGCUGAGAGGAGGUGCAUGGCGUAGACGUCU
rnacentral:rRNA from 1 species